GUCAGGAUGGCCGAGCGGUCUAAGGCACUGCGUUCAAGUCGCAGUCCACUCUGUGUGGGCGUGAGUUUGAAUCCCUCUUCUGACA